rnacentral:lncRNA from 1 species
AAAACGAUUACUUAUAUCCUCUCUCUCUUUGGAUGUGUUAUCCAACUCAUCUUGACAACCAUGGGCAAGGUCACCCCUCACCUCAUCUUCACUCUCACUCUUCUCUUAAUUACCUUGCCGGUGAGAAGUGGUACUCCAAAAAAAAUAAAUCAAUGAAUUGAAAUGUCUUCCUUAAUUUUCAAAAGGAUUAUUUAUAAUAGAGAAUGAAAAAUUGAAACAAAUAUAUAAAUUGUAACUUCUUCCUAUAUUUGCGAAAGGUUAUAUGUAAUAGAGAAUGAAAAAAACAAACAAACAAUGAAUCAAAACUUCUUCCUUAAUUUGCAAAAUGAUUACAUAUACCCUCUCUCCCUCUCUGGAUGUGUUAUCCAACACAUCUAGACAACCAUGGGCAAGGUCACCCCUCACCUCGUCUUCACUCUCGUUCUU